CUCCAGACUCCUACGGGAGGCAGCAGUGGGGAAUAUUGGGCAAUGGAGGAAACUCUGACCCAGCAAUGCCGCGUGAAUGAAGAAGGUCUUCGGAUUGUAAAGUUCUUUAGUCAGGGAAGAAGUCAAUGACGGUACCUGAAGAAUAAGCUCCGGCUAACUACGUGCCAGCAGCCGCGGUAAUACGUAGGUGGCAAGCGUUAUCCGGAUUUACUGGGUGUAAAGGGCGUGUAGGCGGGACUGCAAGUCAGAUGUGAAAACCACGGGCUCAACCUGUGGCCUGCAUUUGAAACUGUAGUUCUUGAGUACUGGAGAGGCAGACGGAAUUCCUAGUGUAGCGGUGAAAUGCGUAGAUAUUAGGAGGAACACCAGUGGCGAAGGCGGUCUGCUGGACAGCAACUGACGCUGAGGCGCGAAAGCGUGGGGAGCAAACAGGAUUAGAUACCCCUGUA
rnacentral:rRNA from 1 species